UAAUACGGAGGGGGCUAGCGUUGCUCGGAAUUACUGGGCGUAAAGCGCGCGUAGGCGGUAAAUCAAGUCAGGCGUGAAAGCCCAGGGCUUAACCCUGGAACUGCGCUUGAUACUGAUUUACUAGAAUUCGAGAGAGGGUAGUGGAAUUUCCAGUGUAGAGGUGAAAUUCGUAGAUAUUGGAAAGAACACCAGUGGCGAAGGCGGCUGCCUGGCUCGAUAUUGACGCUGAGGUGCGAAAGCGUGGGGAGCGAACGGGAUUAGAUACCCCGGUAGUCCACGCCGUAAACGAUGAGUGCUAGUUGUUGGGCAGUUCGCUGUUCGGUGACGCAGCUAACGCGUUAAGCACUCCGCCUGGGGAGUACGGCCGCAAGGUUA
rnacentral:rRNA from 1 species